ACGGAGGAUGCGAGCGUUAUCCGGAUUUAUUGGGUUUAAAGGGUGCGUAGGUGGACUGUUUAGUCAGUGGUGAAAUACUGAUGCUCAACGUUAGCAUUGCCGUUGAAACUGACAGUCUUGAGAGUGAUUGAGGCAGGCGGAAUGCGUGGUUGAGGGGUGAAAUACAAAAAACCCACACAGAACCCCAAAGGCGAGGGCAGCGACCAAAGCCACAACUGACACUGAAGCACGAAAGCGUGGGGAUCAAACAG
rnacentral:rRNA from 1 species